CCAUUGAUACUGGCGGGCUUGAGUGUAGAUGAGGUAGGCGGAAUGCGUGGUGUAGCGGUGGAAUGCAUAGAUAUCACGCAGAACUCCGAUUGCGAAGGCAGCUUACUAAGGUACAACUGACGCUGAAGCACGAAAGCGUGGGUAUCAAACAGGAUUAGAUACCCUGGUAGUCCACGCUGUAAACGAUGAUAACUGGGCGUAUGCGAUAUACAGUAUGCUCCUAAGCGAAAGCGUUAAGUUAUCCACCUGGGGAGUACGCCGGCAACGGUGAAACUCAAAGGAAUUGACGGGGGCCCGCACAAGCGGAGGAACAUGUGGUUUAAUUCGAUGAUACGCGAGGAACCUUACCCGGGAUUGAAAUGUAGAUGACCGCCGGUGAAAGUCGGCUUUCCUUCGGGACAUCUAUGUAGGUGCUGCAUGGUUGUCGUCAGCUCGUGCCGUGAGGUGUCGGCUUAAGUGCCAUAACGAGCGCAACCCCUGUCUACGGUUGCCAUCAGGUAAUGCUGGGAACUCCGUAGAGACUGCCGUCGUAAGGCGUGAGGAAGGUGGGGAUGACGUCAAAUCAGCACGGCCCUUACAUCCGGGGCGACACACGUGUUACAAUGGUAAGGACAAAGGGCAGCUACCUGGCGACAGGAUGCGAAUCUCUAAACCUUAUCACAGUUCGGAUCGGAGUCUGCAACUCGACUCCGUGAAGCUGGAUUCGCUAGUAAUUGCGCAUCAGCCAUGGCGCGGUGAAUACGUUCCCGGGCCUUGUACACACCGCCCGUCAAGCCAUGGGAGUCUGGAGUACCUAAAGUCCGUAACCGCGAGGGUCGGCCUAGGGUAAUACAGGUGACUGGGGCUAAGUCGUAACAAGGUAGCCGUACCGGAAGG
rnacentral:rRNA from 1 species